rnacentral:misc_RNA from 1 species
UACGUAGGUCCCGAGCGUUGUCCGGAUUUAUUGGGCGUAAAGCGAGCGCAGGCGGUUCUUUAAGUCUGAAGUUAAAGGCAGUGGCUCAACCACUGUACGCUUUGGAAACUGGAGAACUUGAGUGCAGAAGGGGAGAGUGGAAUUCCAUGUGUAGCGGUGAAAUGCGUAGAUAUAUGGAGGAACACCGGUGGCGAAAGCGGCUCUCUGGCCUGUAACUGACGCUGAGGCUCGAAAGCGUGGGGAGCAAACAGG